rnacentral:rRNA from 1 species
UACAGAGGUCCCAAGCGUUGUUCGGAUUCACUGGGCGUAAAGGGUGCGUAGGUGGUGGGGUAAGUCGGAUGUGAAAUCUCCAAGCUCAACUUGGAAACUGCAUUGGAAACUGCCUUGCUAGAGGAUUUGAGGGGGGAUUGGAAUACUUGGUGUAGCAGUGAAAUGCGUAGAUAUCGGAAGGAACAUCAGUGGCGAAAGCGGCUUCCUGGACCAGUACCGACGUUCAGGCACGAAAGCGUGGGGAGCAAACAGG